GAGAAGGGAGUGCGUUUCCGGCUCUCAGGAACUGCGGGGGCCGCGGACGGGAGAGGGCUCGCCCCGUAAGAUCUCUCUUGCCCUCUGCGGGACUGAGGCUUCCCGCGAAGCGGGUGUGUCCGCUUGCAGCCCUCGCUCAGGCUCCGGGUUUAGCUGCGGAGUCUCAGAGAAUGAGAGACGUGACACAAGAGGUCCCCAGGGAGCAAGGCCCGCGCCUCCUGAAAACACACAGGCUACCAGGGGGCAAGAUGACUUUAGCCACUGUUUCCAGAUACUUCCUUCAGAUAGAGGAGGUGAGACUACGAAGCAGUGAGACGGUUGCUCUCUACCCUCCUCAGGAAGGCAGUUUGUGUCUUUCUGCUUUGGCCAUCAUCUUUGAUAUCUGAAAUUCUGCAGCCUGAUAGUAAAACAGAUUGAUAGAUGAAGCAUAAAACAAGACCAGAUGCUGUGGUUUCCAGGAUGCACUUGGCUCCCCAUCCUUUAUAACCUGGAGCAUUUUUUUGCUGUCCGUUCCUAACGUGUCCAUCGGAGACCAGUCCCAUCAGGGUGAGUCUUGGUACUCAUGGGAUUUGGGAACAUAGACACUGAGGUGCAACAGACCUGGGUUUGUAUGGACAAUCUACUGUUUACCAGCUCUAUGAUUUGGGGCAAGCCAUAAAGUUAUAAAGCCUCAACUUCCCCAUCUUUCAUACGGGGACAGUAGCAGUACACGUGCCACGGAGUGGCACUGAAAAUUAAAUGAGACGGUUUCAGGGAAGUGCUGAGCUCUAUGCCUGACGCUUAGCAAGUGCUCAAUAAACAUGCUGUUGUAACAUCCCA